rnacentral:misc_RNA from 1 species
GUUUCACCAGGUGCCAACAAUAUUUCGCUGAAAUUGCAAGGGUAAAACUGAGAAUUGGUUCCAUAAGGUUCAAAGACAGUCAGUGACCUGUCGCUGUGUGUAUUUUUAACAUUUAGAAAAGCUAAUGAAGGAAAAUAUAAAUACUUCUCCCCCCAGUCGAGCAAAGGGGGAUUGAUUUCUACAUGAGGGGAAGAACCACCCAAAAUGUUGAAACUGCCUGUCCCGUCUUCUGCUUUUGGUUUCAAUUUUUUAUAUUUAUCAUCAGACAAAGGCACUUCACCGAAAGAAACACCAUCUGCCCUAUUCCUUCUUAUACAAUUACAAGGCAAUUCACUGUAAAACUCUGGGUAACUCAGAUAGCAUGAAAUUGUUCUUCCACCCAAGAACUUGAAAAUACAAGAAUCGGAUGACCUGCUAAGAUUUUUAUUCUCUU